rnacentral:rRNA from 1 species
UACGGGGGGGGCAAGCGUUGUUCGGAAUUACUGGGCGUAAAGGGCUCGUAGGUGGCCAACUAAGUCAGACGUGAAAUCCCUCAGCUUAACUGGGGAACUGCGUCUGAUACUGGAUGGCUUGAGUUUGGGAGAGGGAUGCGGAAUUCCAGGUGUAGCGGUGAAAUGCGUAGAUAUCUGGGAGAACACCGGUGGCGAAGGCGGCAUCCUGGACCAACACUGACACUGAGGAGCGAAAGCCAGGGGAGCAAACGGG